UACGUAGGUGGCAAGCGUUGUCCGGAUUUACUGGGCGUAAAGAGCGCGCAGGCGGCUGGUCAAGUCCGAUGUGAAAUCUCCCGGCUCAACUGGGAAACUGCAUCGGAAACUGAUCGGCUUGAAGGUGGGAGAGGGUAGUGGAAUUCCCGGUGUAGUGGUGAAAUACGUAGAGAUCUGGAGGAACACCGAUGGCGAAGGCAGCCCCCUGGGCUAACACUGACGCUCAUGCACGAAAGCGUGGGGAGCAAACAGG
rnacentral:rRNA from 1 species